CCUACGUGAGGCAGCAGUGAGGAAUAUUGGUCAAUGGGCGCGAGCCUGAACCAGCCAAGUCGCGUGAGGGAAGACGGUCCUAUGGAUUGUAAACUGCUUUUGUACGAGGGUAAAUCCCGAUACGUGUAUCGGGUUGAAAGUAUCGUACGAAUACUGAUCGGCUAACUCCUUGCCAGCAGCCGCGGUAAUACGGAGGAUUCAAGCGUUAUCCGGAUUUAUUGGGUUUAAAGGGUGCGUAGGCGGUUCGAUAAGUUAGAGGUGAAAUCCCGGGGCUCAACUCCGGCACUGCCUCUGAUACUGUCGGGCUAGAGUUUAGUUGCGGUAGGCGGAAUGUAUGGUGUAGCGGUGAAAUGCAUAGAGAUCAUACAGAACACCGAUUGCGAAGGCAGCUUACCAAACUACGACUGACGUUGAGGCACGAAAGCGUGGGGAGCAAACAGGAUUAGAUACCCCUGUAGUC
rnacentral:rRNA from 1 species